rnacentral:misc_RNA from 1 species
GGCAGUACUCAGGAUACUUUUUGUUGCCAUGGAAAUUUAAGCAUAAUUACUCCACUAAUAUUUUGCUUUUUUUGCCGUGGUAUUACUAUCCCCCCUUUGUUUAUUCAUUGACAUGAAGCAUUUCUUGCUUUGGUUUGUCAUGUCUAAAUCUUUUUGUUUAGAUGUAUUUAAGAUUUUUUGUGGUUAUUUUUUGCAAUUUUAAGGAAUUUAAUAUUUUGUUUCUUUAAUGAAUGACUUAGCCAAACGAGGCUUUCUUUGUCUUGAGUGAUUACCAUUGCAGCAUUUUUUUGAGAGCUCUGCUUCACUCUAUACAUGUAAUAUAAUUUUCAGUUUUCAAUGAAAAUGCAUUCAGAAUCAUGUAUGACUAAUUUAACUUUAUUUUUUCGUCUUAAAUAUUGAGCUAUACAUAUACAGAAUUAAUUAAAUGAUUUAAAAAUAUGUGCCAUAUUAGUAUUAUUAGCACGCAAUAGUGAAUCAAUGUUGUUACAUUUAUUUGCCUAUCUUUCUUAUCCGUACAUCAUUUUUUUUUCAAUAAAGUUUAUCAAUGGC